AUGGCCCCAAGCUCCUGCUACAGCCGCUGCUUCCCAGCUCCUCCCCUGCUUCUCCAAUUUCGUCCUCGGCCGAGCAGUCCCUCCACGGCCAUCACCUUCCCGACGCCCUUGCUGCUGCUAUACCACCUCGAUGCCAUCAGGGAGUACCAUGGCCUCCACCGUGACCCUUGGAUUCAUCAAGAUCGCCAAGUACCACGACAUACGGCGCCCGUAACGACCACAACACCGAAUGCCAAGUACAGGAUGACCCGCGAAGCCCCUGGACACCAUGUAUCACAAUUGUUGUGUUCCGUUUCAUCUUUGUCAAGUACCCAUGGACGCCAAGUACAAUGA
rnacentral:rRNA from 1 species